GACGAACGCUGGCGGCGUGCCUAAUACAUGCAAGUAGAACGCUGAAGAGAGGAGCUUGCUCUUCUUGGAUGAGUUGCGAACGGGUGAGUAACGCGUAGGUAACCUGCCUUGUAGCGGGGGAUAACUAUUGGAAACGAUAGCUAAUACCGCAUAACAAUGGAUGACCCAUGUCAUUUAUUUGAAAGGUGCAAAUGCUCCACUACAAGAUGGACCUGCGUUGUAUUAGCUAGUAGGUGAGGUAACGGCUCACCUAGGCGACGAUACAUAGCCGACCUGAGAGGGUGAUCGGCCACACUGGGACUGAGACACGGCCCAGACUACUACGGGAGGCAGCAGUAGGGAAUCUUCGGCAAUAGGGGCAACCCUGACCGAGCAACGCCGCGUGAGUGAAGAAGGUUUUCGGAUCGUAAAGCUCUGUUGUAAGUCAAGAACGAGUGUGAGAGUGGAAAGUUCACACUGUGACGGUAGCUUACCAGAAAGGGACGGCUAACUACGUG
rnacentral:rRNA from 1 species